UAUUUAUAGAAUUUUACAGUAAUGUGCCAGACGGGCAAAGCGAAGCCAUUCAAUACGAAGUAUUGUAUAAAUAGAGAACAGCAG
rnacentral:sRNA from 1 species